rnacentral:rRNA from 1 species
CAAUAGCGUAUAUUAAAGUUGUUGCAGUUAAAAAGCUCGUAGUUGGAUUUCUGAUCGAGACAUCAGGUCGGGUCCGAGAGGAUCAUGUACUUUGAUUUUGUUUUGAUCAUCCUUGGGGAGAGCAUUUCUGGCAUUCAGUUGUCGGGAUUGGGAUCCUCAUCGUUUACUGUGAAAAAAUUAGAGUGUUCAAAGCAGGCCUCGGCCUCUGAAUACAUUAGCAUGGAAUAAUAAGAUAGGACUUUGGUGGUCUAUUUUGUUGGUUUGCACGCCAAAGUAAUGAUUAAUAGGGAUAGUUGGGGGUAUUCGUAUUCAAUUGUCAGAGGUGAAAUUCUUGGAUUUAUGGAAGGCGAACUACUGCGAAAGCAUUUACCAAGGAUGUUUUCAUUAA